UACGUAGGGUGCGAGCGUUGUCCGGAAUUAUUUGGGCGUAAAGAGCUCGUAGGCGGUCUGUCGCGUCUGCUGUGAAAACUCGGGGCUUAACCCCGGGCCUGCAGUGGGUACGGGCAGACUAGAGUGCGGUAGGGGAGACUGGAAUUCCUGGUGUAGCGGUGAAAAUGCGCAGAUAUCAGGAGGAACACCGGUGGCGAAGGCGGAUCUCUGGGCCGACACUGACGUGGAUGCGCGAAAGCCCAGGGGAGCGAAACGGG
rnacentral:rRNA from 1 species